GCUGUCUGCAGAAGGACGAUCAGAGCUCCAGGCGUCAGACGAGGCCUCCAGCUGGAGUAAACAACGUCUGAAACCCAGCAGAGGAGCUGAGCAGGCAGGAAGUGGUUUGGAGGUUAGACUUCAGGUGGAAGCUGAAUUAGUGAGGAUGACUCCUGCUCCUGUCAUCUCUAAGCUCCUCACACAUCUUUACCUGCAUAUGAGGAAAAUCACUCCUGUAGAAUGCAGAUGUUCAGAGGGAGAUGAUGCCACAUCUGGUCCAGCUGAUGGAAGGUCUUGAAGUUCUCUGACUGGCCUCGACUGAAGAUGGUCGUCUCACUGGAUUUAAGGUUCAGAUGCUCAGUAACAAACUCCACCAAUGAGCCAACAGGGAAGCUUUAGGUUUAUUAAAUGUUGCUAUGAAGGUUUCACUGUUUUUCUUUGUGAAUGCAAUGAGCUCCAACUGAAACUUGAAUUAGAACUUAGAAGUAAAUCCUUCCAUCUGAAAGGAUUUAGUUGCAUUAAUAACCUCAUAACAUUCUAAUUUUUAUUCCAGUCUUGGUUGGAAAUAGAAUCUCUGUAUUGAUUCAGGUAAAAACUGAACUUCACAGCAUGUUGGAGCAAAACAACCAGAUGAAAACUGUGAUGGUGUUGGAUUGUCAGACUGUAAUGUUGCAGCUCAAAGCAGCUUUUCUAUCUCAGUUCAUUCUGACAUUCAGCUAUGAAUCAACACAGCAGAUGGUGAUCCAUGCUGUGGAAGUCUCACAUCUCCUGAUUUAAUGGAGCUGCUUUGCACUUUUUACACUGUUUAUUCACCAACUCUUUAUUUAAUAAAAGUCCCAUCUAGUUUUUAUGAGGAAUGUGAUGUUUUAAUUUCUCUGUGAAUAACUGCAGUCUAAUGCAACAGCUGGAAUUGUAACAUCUGUCCUGAUAUUGAUCAUGAAGUAUUGAUCAGAAUACUCAUGGUCAGCAGUCAUCCCUGAAGUUUUACAUUCAAAUCAUUACUUGUGUUGUGAACUUUGGUAAGAAGCAGAAACUUUAGCGUUGCCAUGGAUACAGGAGUGUUAAAUUCUGUCCAUGUUUCCAUUUUGGGAAAUUCAGUCCAGCAGAUCAGUUUGUUUUUACUGCCAGCUACAUUCAGUCUGAGAUAUUAAGAAUAAAUAAAUGUGCAUAAUGUGGAAAUGAACAGAUUCUAUUUUUAUUUAUUCCUACAGCUGCUGCAGGUAAAGUUAUAGAAUGUGGAGGAAUUUAGUCUCACAAUCACAGACAAUAAAUAUUAUCUGAAAGUCGGAUUAUUGUUGUUUAUCAGCACAAUACAAAAAGAUUCAUGUUAGAAAUAUUCCAGUUAAGACUCUAGAAUAUCAGGAUUUAUGUAAAUUUACCUCAAUAAUAUGAAUGUUCAGGUUGUGCAGUGAUAUUUAUUAUGUGAGUUUAGCUGAUAAAAGUUUAUUAUUUAAAUUGACAUCAUUAUUAUAAUAUUUAAGAUCAGACUCUACAGUAUUGAGAUUAAGAAAUCAAAUAUUCUAUAAAAUGUAAAUACACUGAACUCAUUUGGAUCUAUUUAAGUGAGACUCUACAAUAUUAUUUAUGACACAAAUCUAUCUAAAUCAACAUUUUAAUCAUUUUUACUCCAAACAUUUACUGGACUGAUUUAAACAUUAAAAUCACUUCUUUCUAAUCCUCUGCUGUACGUUCAAACCUGAGGCCUUAAAUAGAAACACACAAGUAUCUGAUUGAAGGAACUUCUGCAGAGUCCUGGUUCCAGAACAUGAUGAUAGAAUUAUAGACAAACUUUAACAAAAGCUGCCUGAGAGUUUACAGGUUUUUAUGUUAGAUUUCUUCAGUAAUUUAAUGAGAGUUAUCAGCAAAAAUCAAGUGUUCAUUUGAUGAACUUCAUUUCUUAAAACAUCCAGAAUUGGAGCUCAUAUCUUUGGCAGCUGUAAAGUUUCUGCUCCUUCAAAGUUCACAACACAAUGAAUGAAUUCCUAAAACACUCUCAAUGCUGGAGAGCUUUUGAUGCUGAAGCAGUGAUCAGUUUUUCUGUUUCUUCUCUGGAGAUGCACAAUGAGGGACGUCUGCAGAGACUGAGAAAGAGUCUCACCACAUCCUGACAUGAGGAAAAAGACUUUAUUGAAGACUACAAUGAGAAAAACUAUCAGACAGCAGACGGCUGCAUUCAAGGUGAGAUCUGAACAUUUGAUCUGGAACAGGAAUUCAAUAACGGCAGCAUGAGCUUCAUUUCAGUCUGUAGCUGCUGAAUUCAUGGAUGGAUCAUCUGGCACUAGAGAGGAAGACCAUCAAACAUCCACGUCAGCUGAUGGAGGUCCAAGAGUCUCACCCAACAAACAACCUACAGAGUGAAGACCUCCAAUCUGAUUGGACGGCCUCCUAUUCAGCCACAUUUUAGGCUGUUAGAUUGUUCCAGAUAAGACAAGUACAAGAUUCUUCAGAGCCGUUCUACCACGAGCCUGACAGGAAGAACUCCAACAGCUACUGAAUGUUCCUGUGGUUCCCUCAAGGCUACAGGAGGAGCCCUACGAGGACGAGCUGGUCCACCUGAUGGAGGCCAGUCGCUGCGGUUCAAAGCCAACACCGACUACGUGGACUUCUACUGGACCACAUGGAGGCCUUCAAACCGGACCAACAAGUUCAGCGACUCCCCGACUCGUGGGUCUGAGGACGCCGCCGAGCCUCGGUCCAGCCGGCCUCCUGUCUGUGGGUGUUUGAGUGCUGAGAGGUUUGUGGAUGCAUGUGAACGUUCUGUGUUGAAACAGCAGCUUUGGACUCAGUAACACCGGGAAAAACCAAGAGCUCCUUUAUUUGUGACUUCCACUAAAAAAACUGAUGAAAAUAAGUUUACCAGGGUUCUGACUGAUAACAGAUUAUUAAAUAAUGAAAAUAAUCCUUUAAAUAUUCCUUUAAACAAUCCUUUUAGGUCUACAUUUCCUUUACGCUGACUUCUUGGUAAAUGUACAAGUAUUUUGGGUGGAAUAUACCAUUAAGCCCAAUGUUCAAGGGUUCUUCUGGGAAUAUACCAUUAAACCAACCUUUUAGGUAAAUGUUCCAGGAUGUUGGGUAGAAUAUACCAUCAGAUCAACCUUUUAGGUCUACAUUGGAAGAUUUUAGAGUAGAAUAUUACUCCAAACCAUCCUUUAGGUCUACAUUUAAGGUGGAAUACUCCUUUACACCAAGAUUUUUUGGUCUACAUUGAAGGAUUUUAGGUGGAAUAUUCCUUUGAACAAACUUUUUAAGUUUAUGUUCCAGGAUGUUGGGUGGAAUUUACCAUCAGACCAACCUCCAAGGUCUACAGUAGUGAAUUUUAGGUGGAAUAUACCAUUAAACUCACCUUUUAGGUCUACAUUGGAGGAUUUUAGGUGGAAUUUUCUUCCAAACCAUCUUUUAGUCUACAUUUAAGGAUGUUUAGGAUUGUAUAUUCUUCCAAACCAACUUCUCAGGUCUACAUUUCAGGUGGAAUAUUCCUCCAUACUAACUUUUUUGGUCUACAUUGAAGGAUUUUUUCUAAACCACCCUUUGGGGUCUAUAUUUGAGGUUUUAGGUGGAAUAUUCCUUUCAACCAGCCCCUCAGGUCUCUUUGAGGAUUUUGGAUGGAAUACUCUGUUAAACCAACAUUUUAGGUGCAUGUCCAAGGAUUUUUGGUGGAAUGUUCCUUUAAAGUGGAUGUUUGAGGACCUUGUCGGUGGAAUACUUCCUGAAACCAACCUUUUAGGUCAACAUUCAAAGAUUUAAGGUGGAAUAUUCCUUUAAACCAACCUAAAUUUCAUGUUUUGAUCAUUAUCAAGUGAGAAACCUCAAUCCAGACUCCUCAUAAUGACAUUUGAGAUUUAUGCUGCUGUUAUUUGUUUAGUCCAGACUAAAUGACAGAAAUCCACAACUGUAAUUUUAUUUCAGGACUCUGUUAUUGAAUGUCAAAACAAUCCAUGUGACUCUAAAAACUCAACAGC
ensembl:lncRNA